UACGUAGGAGACGAGCGUUGUCCGGAAUCACUGGGCGUAAAGCGCGUGUAGGCGGAUGAGCAAGUCUGCUGUGAAAACUCCUGGCUUAACCGGGAGAGGUCGGUGGAAACUGCUCGUCUGGAGGACGGUAGAGGCUGGUGGAAUUCCCGGUGUAGUGGUGAAAUGCGUAGAGAUCGGGAGGAACACCUGUGGCGAAGGCGGCCAGCUGGGCCGGACCUGACGCUGAGACGCGAAGGCGUGGGGAGCGAACGGG
rnacentral:rRNA from 1 species